rnacentral:rRNA from 1 species
GACAGAGGGUGCAAACGUUGCUCGGAAUUACUGGGCGUAAAGCGCGUGUAGGCGGACUCAUAAGUCAGAUGUGAAAGCCCCGGGCUCAACCUGGGAACUGCAUUUGAAACUGCGAGUCUUGAGUGCCGGAGAGGGUAGUGGAAUUCCUGGUGUAGAGGUGAAAUUCGUAGAUAUCAGGAGGAACACCGGUGGCGAAGGCGGCUACCUGGACGGUUACUGACGCUGAGACGCGAAAGCGUGGGGAGCAAACAGG